rnacentral:rRNA from 1 species
AUUCCCCUAGUAACGGCGAGUGAAGCGGGAACAGCUCAAAUUUGAAAUCUGGCCUUCGGGUCCGAAUUGUAAUUUGCAGAGGAUGCUUUUGGUUAGGUACUUUCCGAGUUCCCUGGAACGGGACGCCUUAGAGGGUGAGAGCCCCGUACGGUUGGAUACCGAGCCUUUGUAAAGCUCCUUCGACGAGUCGAGUAGUUUGGGAAUGCUGCUCUAAAUGGGAGGUAAAUUUCUUCUAAAGCUAAAUACCGGCCAGAGACCGAUAGCGCACAAGUAGAGUGAUCGAAAGAUGAAAAGCACUUUGAAAAGAGGGUUAAAUAGCACGUGAAAUUGUUGAAAGGGAAGCGUUUAUGACCAGACUUUUUCCAGGCGAAUCAUCCGGUGUUCUCGCCGGUGCACUUCGUCUGGUUGAGGCCAGCAUCGGUUUCCGUGGGGGGAUAAAAGCGGUGGGAAUGUGACUCCUCCGGGAGUGUUAUAGCCCGCCGUAUAAUACCUCCAUGGGGACCGAGGUUCGCGCAUUGCAAGGAUGCUGGCGUAAUGGUCAUCAACGACCCGUCUUGAAACACGGACCAAGGAGUCGAACAUUUGUGCAAGUGUUUGGGUGUUAAACCCUCACGCGUAAUGAAAGUGAACGGAGGUGAGAGCCCUUACGGGUGCAUCAUCGACCGAUCCUGAUGUUUUCGGAUGGAUUUGAGUAAGAGCAUAACUGUUCGGACCCGAAAGAUGGUGAACUAUGCGUGGAUAGGGUGAAGCCAGAGGAAACUCUGGUGGAGGCUCGCAGCGGUUCUGACGUGCAAAUCGAUCGUCAAAUCUGCGCAUGGGGGCGAAAGACUAAUCGAACCAUCUAGUAGCUGGUUACCGCCG